rnacentral:tRNA from 1 species
CUCUUUUGUUGACAUUCUUCCACGAAAAUAAGCAGCUGCUGUCAAAUAUCGUCCAUGUUUUGGAUCACAAGCGACCAUCAUGUU